CGAUCCGUGUCGCUUCGUUUGCCGCCAUGGAAGCCGAAAGAUCGAAGCUUUACGUGGGGGGCAUCGCGAGGGAGACGACCGAGGACGCGCUGCGGGAGCACUUCGGCAGGUACGGCGGCGUGUCGCGGGCGGUGGUCCCGCGGGAGCGGGACGCCGCGAGGGCCCCCAGAGGGUUCGCCUUCGUCUGGUUCGCCGACCCGGCUUCGGCGAGGGCCGCGCUCCGGGACGAGGAGCACGUCAUUCUCGGGAAGAAGGUGCUGGUGAGGGAGGCGAACAAAACCGAGCGCCACCCGAACCCAAAUCAACAAGAAGUCCGCCUUGGCCAAAACCGUUGUUGUAGGAUGUGCGGGAACAGCUUCAAUGGCAAUGGCAAUGGCAAUGGGGCUAACACGCGCUUCAGGAGUCGAAAGAUAUUCGUCGGGGGUUUACCGACUAGCUUGACCGAGGAUGAAUUCAAGAGCUUUUUCGAGAGGUUCGGCGAGACCACGGAUGUGGUGAUAAUGGUCGACCUCUACCGGAGGCCUAGGGGUUUUGGUUUUGUCACCUUUGCGUUGGAGGAAUCGGUCGAGGAGGUGAUGAAGAACAACUUUUAUGAGCUUCAUGGUAGGUCAGUGGAGGUCAAGAGGGCUAUUCCAAAGGAAGCUCGCAACUCUUGCGACGGUAGUUGUGAAGUGAAUGGUCAAAUGGGGAGAGGACAGGAUUGUCUUGAUUACUGGCCAGUUUAUUAUCCCGCAUAUCCAUCUCCGUAUGAGUCAUUUCGUGGGUAUAGCUAUGUUUCGAGUUAUCACGAAUUCGGAUGGGUUCCAUAUGGAGCCAGUGCAUACUCUGUUUCUCGUGCAGUUCAUUUUAAUGGUUCUGGACCCACCUACGUGGAUGAUAUGUUUGGAUAUAAUGGAAUGCCGAUUCCUGCGUACGAUGGGUUCAUGCCGGAUGGAUUUCAUUCUAUGAUGAGUCGAGAUGGAUAUGUUGAGAAUGCGUACCGUGCACCAGCACAGCUGCGGAUCGAGGAGUUGCAGCAGCUCACCGAUUGCAUUGAGGGUGAGGCAGACACACCAGCACUGCCGGAGAUCAAAGAAUUGAAGCUCACCGAUUGUAUUGAGGGCGAGGCAGACACACCAGCACUGCCGGAGAUCAAGGAAUUGAAACUCACCGAUUGCAUCGAGGGCGAGGCAGACACACCAGCACUUCCGGAGAUCAAGGAAUUGAAGCUCAGGGAUGGUUCAGAAUCAGACGGCGGAAGCAGUGGUGUGACCAACCAAGACGAUGAUCACUAACACUCAGAUCUUGUGAAAAUAUUUCUCGCACUGGCUGCACGUGCAUCCGGUACAAGCGAUAUGGGCUCGCGAUUCGGGCUAUGGCCGGGGGCACCGGGCUCUAAUGGGGCUUGAUCUUUGAAUAAUGAAGGGCGCUUGUUGAACUAAAUCCAAGUCAUGGAUGGGCUUUCCACGUGAAGAGAAAGGAAAGCCCAGUUUCCUCUGAUAACGUUUGAACAAAAUGGGAGAGUGUCUCAGUUCGAUUUGGCUGAAAGUCUUCCCAAAACUCUGUUGAUAUUUGGAAGACAUAAGGUUUAAAUGGAUUGUCAUGAUGGAAUUUAUGCGUGAAUGACAAAUCAUGACUGCGGAAGAGAUGAAUUUCUAUUUGGUUAAUGUGAUAUGUAAACUUAGUGUCAAUUGGAAGUUAUCAAGUCUAGUACUUGUUGCGCGAUGAUUAGGUUAUCUCUCAUUUACAAUUACAUAAAAUUGGUAAUUUCUUCA